GGAAGCGUGCCCGAAGCCACAAGGACUACUCUGAUAAGGUAGACAUGGAAUUUACAGUAUUCCCACUUCCC
rnacentral:tRNA from 1 species